UCCAGAUCCACAGGGCUCCAUCCCAGGACCCUGAGAUCACAGACCUGAGUGGAAACCAAGAAUCAGCUGCUCUACUGACUGAGCCACCCAGGCACCCCAUUCUGAUUUCAUUUUUGAAAUCACCUCUGAAAAACCUUGGAAGAACCAUCUGUGUUUCAUUGCUGUGAACAGCUACAGUGCAGAAGCAUCCUUCUAAGGACAUUCACAGACAAUAGCUCAUUCAUUUUUCAGAACACUUCUGGGAGAUCUGCAAGAGGUUUGCUGUGGUGGGAGCUGUGUGGCUGAGGCUCUAACAGUCUGAGAGGGCAGCUGGAUCCAAGGGAUUAGAGGUCAUGAUAGCUGAGCCUGUCACUUGGCAGGAGGAAACCCGAAGAUGCAGAUGUAGAUGGUCUACAGUCUUCAACGAAUUCAUUGUUCUCUGGAUUCCGUUGGGGCUCAGCCCAUGGCAAACCCAGAAGGAAACCAAAGGGAGGAAGGGAAGCAGGAUGCACAGGCCUCAGAACCAAAGGUUGGAGCUGGAAGUGGUCUCUUACUAUUACAUGAUACACUUGAAGAAUAUUUGCUUUUUGUCCCUGUGACCUUGGCCUCUGUGGAUUUGAAGAUCCUAGUGCCCAAGGGAACAAAGCGAAGAAUGGGGCUAUUGUGCUGACUGAGGUCAUUGAUCCCCAUUACCAGGGAGAAAUUGUGUUGCUGCUACAAGAGGAUGGCAGAGAGCUGUGUGAAGAGCACAGAGGAUUUGCUGGAUGCCUCCUACUACUACUCAAUUGUCCAAUCAUUCUUGUCAAUGGGGAGUGGUAGCCACAGAAUAAAAUAAGACCACUAAGGAUGCAAAUCCCAUAAGAAUAAAGGUUUGAGUCCCUCCUACCAGGAAAAGAACUCCAUCCAGCUGAGAUGCUCCCAGAGGAUAAGAGAAACACGAAGUGAAUGUGGAAGAAAACAGAUAUGAUCACCACCUACUUAGACCUCAUGUGCAGUCACAGAAGCAGAGAGGGUAAUAGAACUGAAUUGCUUUGGUGAAAAUCAAUGGACUAUACAUAUAUGGAUCAAUUUCUGAAGUCUCCAUCUGUUCCCAUGGUCUAUAAGUCCACCCCUACACCAAUACUACAUUGUCUUCUUUUUGAAGCUUUGUACUAAGUACUGAAGUCAGCUAAUAACUUCAGGUUGCUCGGCCAAGAGUCUUGCUGCCACCUCACACUCACUGGCUUGAUGGGCGAAAAAUAAAGUCUGGGGAAGAGCAAGAUUUCCUCCGACGGGAGCCUGCGCAGCCCGGGGGGGCCUCAGAUCUAAGAAGGUACAGAGAAAGCAUGAGCAGGAGGGGCAGAGGGAGAGAGGGUCUCCUUCAGCGCGGAGUCCCACACAGGCCUGGAUCUCAUGACCCUGAGAUGAGGACCUGAGCUGAAACCAAGAGGCCGGCACUUAACCAACCGGGCCCCCCAGCCCCGCCCCCUACUUUCAGAGGUUUUAAUGCAGCAGCAAAUACAGAGCUGGCCCCGGGGAGUCUGAAUGUGAGCAGCAGCCAGGAGACGCUGAUGCAGGUGGUCCCAGGACGAAUGUCAGUACUGCCGGCAACAUCUCCAGGCACAAGGACCAGGACCUGGCCCCUCACUCACAGGACGCCCGGGAAGAUGUUAGGGCCCCAAAGGAGCCAGCCUGUGAGGACCUGGGAUCUGAAGCAUGGAGUCAGGUGAGCCCAGAGAGGGAACGCGGAGGAGGUGGUGGGGGGGGUGCUCCAGAGAGCCGCGGGGAGCCUGCGAGGCUGCUCCCAGCCGCGCCCCCUGCCCUCUGGGACCCACCACCGGCUCCAGAAGGAGGUGGCUUUCCUACGAAAUGAGCAACACCCAAGACGCGGGGUUCCUCGGAGUGAUCUCAGGGCUUGUGCGCCGGGCUGGCUUGUGGCCCGUGUGGCCAUCGUGGAGCCUCGUGACCGCUUCUUGGGAGGAUCCUAGAGUUAGGAUCCUAGGGUUAGGAUCCCAGGGUUAGAACCCCAGGGUCAGGAUCGUAGGGUUAGAACCCCAAGGUCAGGAUCCCAGGGUAGGAUCCCAAGGUCUGGAUCUCAGGGUUAGGAUUCCAAGGUUGGGAUCCCAGGGUUAAGAUCCUAGGGUUAGGAUCCCAGGGUUAGAACCCCAAGGUUAGGAUCCCAGGGUUAGAAACCCAGGGUUAGAACCUCAGGGUUAGGAUCCUAGGGUUAGAACCCCAAGGUUAGAACCCCAGGGUUAGGAUCACAGGGUUGGGAUCCUAGGGUUAGGAUCCCAGGGUUAGAACCCCAAAGUUAGGAUCCCAGGGUUAGGAUCCCAAGGUUGGGAUCCCAGGGUUAAGAUCCUAGGGUUAGGAUCCCAGGAUUAGAACCCCAAGGUUAGGAUCCCAGGGUUAGAAACCCAGGGUUAGAACCUCAGGGUUAGGAUCCCAGGGUUGGGAUCCUAGGGUUAGGAUCCCAGGGUUAGAACCCCAAGUUUAGAACCCCAGGGUUAGGAUCCCAGGGUUAGAAUCCUACGGUUAGGAUCCUAGGGUUAGGAUCCCAGGGUUAGAAUCCCAGGGUUAGGAUCCCAGGGUUAGAAUCCUAGGGUUAGGAUCCCAGGGUUAGGAUCCCAGGGUUAGCUGCACAAUGAGCGACCCAGAAACCCAGUGCCAGCGCUCCGCAGGCCGAAGCCGGAUUUGGGGUGCGGGAGGCUGAGACCGAGGCGCUGCCAGGCGCGAUGCCCUCCCCGGGGUGCGUCACCGGAGGGCGCCAGAGCAUCCUUCUCCGAAAGGAAUUUCCGUCCACGGAAACCCCGUUAGGCUUCGAUUCCAUCAACUACCCGCCCAAAGCCACCGUCUCCCCCGAAAUGAGACAGAAGAGGGCGGACAGGUGGCCGCGUAAGGAGUCUCCCGAGGGGCCGCGAAGUCGUCGACGUCAUCCGCUUUGUUAGACACGCACCUGCCUCCCCGCGCGCUCUCCCGGCCUCUACCAGCGCGCGGGAUGGAGGCUCCAGGGGACGCCGGCCUCCCGGCCCGGCUCCUGCAGCCCCUGCGGACGCCCCGGCCUCGGACAGCUUCUCCUCCAGUGUUCCCGGUUCGAACAGGGGAAACUGAGGCUCGAGGGGGCACCGGGACCUGCGCAGAGUCGCCCUACAGCUCAGUCUUGCGGCCCAGGGGAUACUUUCCUUUUAACCCAUGAGCUGACCCCGGAGUCCCCCCGUAGGAAGGGCUCUCGGUCCACUGAUGCAAGGCUGCAUGAUCAUCGCUAGAGAAAUACGAGAAGACAGGAAGAGGCCUGAGAAUUUGACAACCAUCCACUAAGAAGUUAAAUUAAAAACUUCAGUUUCAAACAAACAAACUCCAGUUUCUUCUAGACUCAGCUGGUUCACGUGUGAAAGGUCUGUGGCUCUGGCAUAUUUUAUAAUGGGCAUUUGCAGCAUGAUCGCUGACUCACGAAUUAAAAUGAUAGAGAACAUU